rnacentral:lncRNA from 1 species
GCUCCAACGGCUGCAGACAAAUUUAGUCCGGACUCCUACGGGGGCCGGACUCCGACCGCUGUCGAACUUCAACCGAUGGAUCUGCACCCCCUGGCAGACCACCAUAACGGCCACGAUCCUGCUCCACUUCCUGUGGCGGAUCCCGCGUAGCUCCAUCAUUCCCUGACAGGCCGCAGUAACCAUCGCAGCUCUGCUCCACUCCCUGUGGCGGAUUCCGCACAGCUCCACUACCCCCUGGCAGGCCACAAUAACGGCCACGAACCUGCUCCACCUCCUGCGAUGGAUACCGAGCGAU